GACGAACGCUGGCGGCGUGCUUAACACAUGCAAGUCGAACGGAAAGGCCCUGCUUUUGUGGGGUGCUCGAGUGGCGAACGGGUGAGUAACACGUGAGUAACCUGCCCUUGACUUUGGGAUAACUUCAGGAAACUGGGGCUAAUACCGGAUAGGAGCUCCUGCUGCAUGGUGGGGGUUGGAAGGUUUCGGCGGUUGGGGAUGGACUCGCGGCUUAUCAGCUUGUUGGUGGGGUAGUGGCUUACCAAGGCUUUGACGGGUAGCCGGCCUGAGAGGGUGACCGGCCACAUCGGGACUGAGAUACGGCCCAGACUCCUACGGGAGGCAGCAGUGGGGAAUAUUGCACAAUGGGCGGAAGCCUGAUGCAGCAACGCCGCGUGCGGGAUGACGGCCUUCGGGUUGUAAACCGCUUUCGCCUGUGACGAAGCGUGAGUGACGAUAAUGGGUAAAGAAACACCGGCUAACUACGU
rnacentral:rRNA from 1 species